AUGAAACACACGGCGGUGGAUGGACAGAUCAGCCCUGCCUUGGCUGGGGGACAGAUUUCCAUUGGUGGAAGGUCUCGGCCUGAAACUGAAGCAAAAUCACACCUGAAACAGAGAAAUCCAGAGCAAGACACACAGUCCUGCUGCAUGGAGAAAGCUCUGACCAUCACCAGCCCAAGAAAUGCCCUGGCUGCAUUCACACCCAGCACAAGGCUACGUCCAGGGGAGAUGCCCCCACUUUUCAGGAUGAGAGGCUUGGAAGGAGCGUGCUGGGAAGUUCUGCAAGAAUUCCGUGCUUUCCUCCUGGAGGUGCAGCAGGACGGAGGGGCCGUGGGUGCACGUUCUGAACAAUCCGGAUGUUUUUUGGGCAGCUGCCCAUCCUUGCACCCAUCCAGCAAAGCUGGGCAUUGGUCCCCAUCCUAUUGUGAGUGCCUUGGGCUAUGAGGUAAUGCACUGCCUCGUGGAGCCACUGGCAUUUACCCAGGAAAAGAUGCAACAU
rnacentral:lncRNA from 1 species